GUUGUCUCUUCCACAUAUUACUCGCAGUCAGCGACAGAGGGCUUUCCCACGCCAGGCCUGCAGAUCCCAGUCGGAAGCUUUAUCUAUCCUGCCCCUUGGGGGACUGCGGCUGGCUUUCCCCCAUGAGACCUAUUCUGUAUUGAACAGGAAAGCACAAACAAUCACAAUGCCCAGCAAAGAUAAAGUGUUUUCCAUGCUCUCUGUUACGACAGUGAUCCCCAUAGAGACGUAAUCUUCAGUUUACGGAGACUUUUUUCUGAGUCCCAAAUUGCAGGAAUCUGUGGGGUUUUCCCCCUAACCUUGCCCUUCCACCCUUCGUGGAUCCUCCUGGAAUGGUCCACAGGCAUCUAUAUCUGCUGUCCCCCAACCCCACCAGCAAGGGGCGCGCGAGAUGAAACAGUUCUGUCCUGGGAUGUACCACCGAGGGGUAGCGGAAAGACCACCCACUCUGGAAGGUACCAUUGGGAGAGGGCGUGUGACAACAGAGAGGGUCCCCUUACACCGCGUCGGGCAUGGACCGCAGUUCCCAGCAGCGGCACUCAUGGCGCCACUAGGUCCAUCCCCACUCGCUCCUCUUCGUCUUCCCACUGCUUUUGAAUCCGAGUGGACACAGUGGGCAAGUGGCGUCAACAUUGGGACCUAUAGAUCAAGAUUCCCCAAGCUGGAUGAACCUGUGGUUGACCAGCAGCCCAGUGUUGAGCAACCUCAACAAGAGGAACGGCCACCUGAGAUUCAGGAUAUCACACCUGAAAAGGAGGAAGUAAAUGGAGAGGAUCCGGUGAAUCAUAAUGAAGAGAAGGAGAAGGAUGCCUCUGGAGCUGAAUCGAUGCAUUUUUUGGUAAAGAUUCUCACCUGGAAACUGAUCUCCAGGAAUUGGCUGAAGCAAAGACUGGGGGUAAAGGUGGAGAUGGUCCUGAUGUCAGGGAGGAAUUUGCAUCAAAUACAGAGCCUGUUGAAAUGCCAGAAGCAGCACGUGGCAGUCAUCUGCUUGUAAGUGACAGUUCUCAUCAUCCCUAAUGAAUCCAGCCGCAGUAGGAGGAGAUAUAGCAUCUGGUCCCUGCUUAGAACUACUUCCUGAAUGAAUGAAGGACCGGGACUCAAGGUAAAUUCUCAGUCAAUAAAGCGUAGCUCUUAGUGGACCA
rnacentral:lncRNA from 1 species